rnacentral:lncRNA from 1 species
GCAGAGGUAAACCCUAGUUUUCACCUAUAUAUAGGGCACGAAUAAGCCCUAGUGAGGUACGUUUUUACAGUUGCAUGAGUUUUAACCUAGUUUUCAUAAAGUUACUCAGAAUAGUAGUCUCUAGUUGUUCUUGACGGCACACCCAGCUGUGAGCACAAGGCAAUUAGGGCUACACAGUUUAGUUACACAGUUCCAGUUGUUGAGAUUAUUAUACAGCUUCUAGUUACUUUGGUGUUUCUCGCUAGCUGACUUGAUCGUCGGAGUGCAAACGGCCACGAGGGCGCCCCUUUGUUCUUCCUUUUCUGGUACACACAGACGAGGCAGAACGAAGGUGCCCUAGCUUGUUAGAACGAAGCCACGCAUAAAGACGAC